ACCUCUAUGAGCUAAGAUCAAGCGUAGUAUCUGUUCUUAUCAGUUUAAUAUCUGAUAUGUUCUCGAUGUGAGAACUUUAUAUUAAAUGGACAUCUGCAGGGUGUUUCCCAGUAGAUGAUUGGUGUAAUUGGCUAAUGCUGCUGCUACUAACCCUGUAGCAGUUGUGCCCUGGGCUUCUGAAAAGGGUGAUGGUU